CACAGACGGUUGUUGGAUUUAAAUAAGGACUACAUAAUUUUAUGACCAUUAACAAGACUCGCUGCUCUGCAAGCUAGAAUAAUAAGGGCAAUCAUAUCUCAUGGUUCGAGGAGCAAGCUGAUUGCCUGUAGGGACUGCAAAGCUGGAAACACCGAAGAACGUGACAGGGCCAGAGGAGAGCCCUCUGAGAUGAGCAACACAGCACAGAGACAGCACUUGUGCAGCUUAAUGGAAUAGAUGGACCAGGAGAGAAGAGCUCAUUAGAAAAGAGCACUGCCCAGUGAGGAGGGGAGAGGAUAUAAACCACAAGAAAGCUGCUAAAGGAGAGAAAUGGAAAUCUUUUAGUCUCAGAGAAAGCAAAGAUGGAGUACAUUAAUGAGCUCCUUAAUGGCAAGUGCCCAAGGGUUGGUGAGCCGGGC
ensembl:lncRNA